rnacentral:lncRNA from 1 species
CCUGACUGCCAGGAGUGGAGCGGGAGUCGGCCCAGCCAAUGCGCAUGCGCGAGGAGCCAGCGGCUUCUCCCAUCACAGUGGUUCCCACCGUUGUCUUAGAAACCAGUCCCCGAGGCUUGGCAAAGCAGGAGCCCUCCAUGGAGGUGCUUGGGUGUCGGGGCAAACCCCAGGCGGAGUCCGGGGGAAGCAGCACGGCAUCCCAGCCUCAGGCCUGCCCGGACGGUGUUGGUUGGGCUACAUUGAGGCCAGGUGCAGUGGCUCACACCUCUAAUCCCAGUUCUUUGGGAGGCUGAGGCCAGCGGAUCACGAAGUCAGGAGAUCAAGACCAUCCUGGACAACACGGUGAAACCCUGUCUCUUCAAAUAUACAAAGAAUUAACCAGAGAAGCAGGGAAUCUGGAAUUUUGGGUGAAAUGUCUGUUUCCAGAAGCUGAAAAUGCUCUCAAAUGGAAAAUUCAGGUAAGGUUGGGGAAGAUGUCAGGUGAUAGAAUGUACCCUGCCUCUGACAGCAUCCAAUCUGGAGCAAAGGCUUCUUUCAACCCUCCCCCAAACUCCCAAUACAAGCCCAAGUUCUGGAACAAGUACUUUCCAACACCUCCUUCAGAGAAGCUCCCUGGCUCCAGGCAGUGCUUGGUCCCCUCACUGCAGCAGGAAGCCCAGCUUGUGAACUGCAGGUGUGCUCCAGGUGGUUGCUGGAUGCAGGGUAUUGAUAGAUGGAUCUCAUCGAUACCCCCACUGCAUAACCAUAGUGCAGUGAAUAGAAGACACUUCUCUGCACCCCAAAAGCUCCAUGCUGAUUGCGAGAAGGAAAUGCUGGAUGGAGGGGUUCCUGGAACUACUGUGAGGGAAAUGGUAACAGAACUUUGGAUGUGGAACGUGCAGUAGGAGUUACACGAAGUGCGGGUCUGCACUUGGGGUGGUCAGCACGGCGGAUGCCCAGCAAACGCACUGCCUGGUCCACAUCCCGGAGUGGUCUCUACGCCCCAGUCGGCAUCGCAGCUGAUGGUGAAACUUUUGGUGUGGCAGAAGAGUGUCCACAAACUUUGGAAGUUGCUAGAGAAAAAUGAAACGACUAGUUUUGAAAGCCUUACUUCUGCCAAUGGAAGCACAUUCCAGCAUGUCGCCAACGCAAUCCAUUUUCCACCACUUUCACAAGAAAAGUUACGGCACAAUUAUACUAUCCUACCCUUAUAUACUUUUUGUGCAUGUGUACUUGUAUGUAUGUAUGUUAUAUA